AAUUGAUCGUUAGAAGGGAUUAAAAUUGAUUGUGUUAUGUUCUGUAAUUGUUGUUAAUAAAUCUUUCAGAAGAAAGUGUGUAAAAGUUUGACUACAGUAACCAUAUCUAACCAAGCUUCAUGUACCAAGAUAAUUAUUUCAUUUAUUUCUCAUCAGAUCAACUGUUCAUUUAUGCAGUUUAUGCUUUAUUUAUAGGUAGCAUAACUGUUACCUUUUUGUUUACAGUUCUGCAUAUAUAAUAUGACAAACCUAGGAGACUUUGCUGUAAGAGAAUUAAUCAUGUUUUUGUUUUCUUUUCUCAGGUCCGGUCAGUACCCACCACCCUUCCCUGUUCACCCACAGUUUAUACUUUUUCUUAGAAAACCAACGGCUCUUUUAAGAGCCACUUCAAUAGACCCUUUUACAGCCCACGUGAUCAAAUAGCCUGCGUGCGCAUUUUGGCAACGGAAGUGAUGUUAUUUCCCAGUGGUUCUAACGUGUAAGCAACUCAGAAAGUUUAUUAAAACGAUUUCCCCACAUCAAAACGUCUGGUUGUAGCAUUUGGUUGCACUAAUAUAAUAUAUGUUUAGUAUUUGGCCAUCUUCUAACGUCUUCUAUCCACUCCACUAUAGUACACGGAUCUGGUAACUGUGUAGAAAAUAAGUCAACUUUUUAAACUAACUUUCUCUGUCUGUGUUGCUUCACUGCUGAUUCUUGCCGUGCUUCCGUUGCCAAACUGCGUGCGCAUACGUUGCCACGUCAUCAUUGUGUACAAACAGUAAAAGGGUCACUCACUCACUCUUUCGCAAGCUUCUCUGUUUUCAAGUAUUGUAAUUUUAUUCAUUUUACUCUCUCUCUCACUGUCCAAAACACUUAUCCUAUGCCUCUUUGUCUGACCAAUGUAGUAUUGUUGAAAUGGCUGCUGAGCAAGACAGAGGGAGAGCAAAGGGUGUUAUUUUCAUAGCAGACAUGCUUCUUGCUCAAAUCAAGGCAAAGGAACCCAAGGGCAAAGCAACAGCCAUUAAAGGGAGUACAUUUAAUGUCAGAUAGGUGGAGAAAAUGCUGAAGGAGGUCCACUACUAAAAAGCAGCAGAAGUGAAGAGAUACAAAGCUUCAGCUACAGUCUGUUUAUUGCCUACAGUGAGACCUCCACAUUUCUGCACUUGUGAUCAUGCAAACAUCCAGUGUAGAGCACUUCACCUGCCCGGCAUGUACACCCAACAAUGCUCGCUCUUUGUGCAGAUGGCAACAGAAAAACCUACAGAUUCCGUCAGUCAAAAGAAAGGAGCUUUAAGCAGCCACAAACGGAGAGUUCUUUUGAACAGAUAUUGCUUGCAAGUAUUGGCCAUACCUUGAGAAGGCGUCAGUCUCCAUGUUGGAACUCAGACCUUUACUGCAGAUGAGACCUUUCCUUUCUGUCAUGCAUGCCAAGGCUCAUUCAACCAAGUGUCAGGUGUCACACAUUUGUUAGAUAAUCUGGCAAAAAUCAGGAAGGUGCUGGUACAACUGCAGUUGAGGAGGUCAAAAUGGUCAACAGCUACCUGUCUCGUUGUGGCCUCACAACCAAGUAUCUAAUUGAUGCCUAUUUAUAAUAUUUUAGGAAACCUGUCUUUAUUUUUUCACUUUUUUAUUCUUUCUGUCUAGUACUUUGAGAUUGCAUAAGAGUAAGCUGUAACUGUUCAAAGUACAUAAAAAUUGGCAUGUAGUUCUCUCUUAAAUUUUAAACUCAAUUGUCAGUUUCUGGAUUAAUUGAAAUACGACAAGCAUUAAUGGGACCUUUCUUCCUUCAUCACAUACAUGUCUUGU